UUCACCUGUAUAUAGUCAUUGCUUGUGUAUAUUUCUGAAGAUUGUGUUGUUUUUCUGUAUAAGUACAAGAUCUCAUCAUCGCCUCUGACCCUCAGCAGUGGCCUUCACUCAGGCCUCUAAUCCUCCAGGUCUGAUGGCUCCAGGAUGAGGAUAGCACACUGGUCACUAGAGACCCUGCCUGAUCUGAACCGUAAGGUUCUCUGUGAUCACAAUGAAUGGAUAUGUCUAUAACUCUGUGACAUCAUCAGGAGAUCUGGAUCAAUGGACCUGAUGCUGCUUGUCAACCUGGUAAAAGCUCCUGUGUCUCCUUGAACUGGUCUCAUCUUCAGUACUUCAGCACAUCAGUGCAACAUGCAUCUGUCCAGACUCUUCUGGUUAUCCUCCUUCACCUUAUACCUCCAUACAUUCCUCCUCUGGUCAGACUGCAGCCUCAGCCCUCAGCUGAUGAUGCAUGGUACCAGUAUAAAAAAAACAUCAGAACUUUCUUCCAGAUGAGAUUCGAUCCUGUGCUUGCUUGAGAAGACAGCAAAAGGUUACGUCUAGUCAUGAAAGCCCUUUACACAUACCAGCAGCUGGCCACUGUAUGAAAAGCUGAGAUAGUGUCCGCUAUACUAACAAGGAGAGCUGAUUUGAAGGACAGAU